UCAAAGUUUAGUAGAGCAGAUUGUGAUGAUGAUGAUGUUGGACCUGUUCUUUUGGCUAUGUUCUUUUCUAAGUCUGCAUCAACUAGCAUAAGUAUAUAUAACACCAAUUGCUGCAUAGUUCCCAAGUUUUUGUUUGGUUUUCUCCUACUAGGAUAUAGUUAUAUAUAGUCACUAGUGGCCAUAAUUCUUUGGAUCAUAGUUUUCAAUAUGGCACAAUUGCCUCCAAAAGCACCAAAUAUGGCACCAAAUUGGCCUGACUUUUCUCACCAAAAAAUUCACACGCUGGAUAACUUAGGAGGAGCAAAUGCUGCUACUAACCAUAACCCUUUGUGGGUUGAUGAAUUUCUCGACUUCUCGUCGGCAAAACGGGGUUUUCACCGGCGAUCUAUAAGCGACUCGAUUGCGUUUCUUGAAGUCCCAAUGGUGGAAGAGUGCAGAAGAUCAACAAUUAUUCCUGGCUCUGGGGCUGCUAGUGAAUUUGAGAAGUUUGAUGAUGAGCAGCUCAUGUCUAUGUUUACUGAUGAUAUUCCAACUUCUAUUGACCCCAAAAUGUCCUGCUCGAAUCCCUCGUCGCCUUCUGAUCAUAACAGCAUUAAUGAAGAUAAGCUGAAUCCUUCUGAUCUGCAGCUGCAGCAGCUAAAGAGUGAGCCUGAGGAAGUGCAAAGCUCAUGUAAAUCUGAUGGACAGUUGGCUGCUAAUAAUGAAACUAUGGACAAUUCCAGUGACAAAAUUGUUGAUCCAAAACGGAUCAAAAGAAUCUUGGCCAACAGACAAUCAGCUCAAAGAUCUCGAGUGAGGAAACUGCAGUACAUAUCAGAGCUAGAAAGAAGUGUAACUUCCCUUCAGGCUGAAGUUUCAGUAUUGUCGCCAAGGGUAGCUUUUCUGGACCACCAACGUUUGGUUCUGAAUGUUGACAACAGUGUUCUCAAACAAAGAAUCGCAGCUCUUGCCCAAGAUAAGAUUUUUAAAGAUGCUCAUCAAGAAGCCUUGAAAAGGGAAAUUGAGAGGCUAAGGCAAGUCUUUUACCAGCAAAACUUGAAGAAGAUGGAAAAUGCUACACCACCAGAGCCAAAAAGACAACCUGCUACUGCUGGUAAUGCCUCCGCAGAGAAGGAGCAACUUGUUAAUUGAAGCGCGUUUCUCUUAAUACGUGGAACAUUGUUUUUCAGUUUUUCAAUGCCUUGCCAAAGAAGGAACUGAGAACGAUCGACAUGCAUGCUUGAGAACCCCCAAACGCAAAAGGUUAUACCAACGAGAAAAAGGAAUUCAAUUGAUCAACAGGAAUUUUCAAGAAAAAAAUUCAGUGGAUGGUAGUGUUGAUGGACAUUCACAUGCUGUCUUGAACAUGAAAAUAGGGUCCACGGAAACUUCAAUGUUGCAGAGGACAAGAUGAGGCCAACUUGCAUAUCUUUGCAAUGUAGGCCAAAGAAUCAAUAUCAUAAUCAAUUUGUUUCUUUUCUGCUCCCCAGGCAUGGGUGUGGUUAGUUUCUGGUUAGCCAAUCAUCAAUUUGAUGAUUUUUUUUUUCUCUGUAACAUGGGGAUGGGUGUGGUUAGAUUUUUGUUAACCAAUCAUCAAAUUUCUUUCUGUUUUUCAUUCUUUUAACUUUUUCAAUCUUUUUUUUAUUUUGGAAAAAAAAAAGUUGUGUUUAGGCAAGUGUGUUUUAGUGUUAGUGGGAUUUGUAUUGGGAUGUAUGAAAGUAAAGAAGGGGAUUGUCGGGUAGUUGUUUUGAUGUCAGGCUGUGGCAUCUUUUUUUUCCAAUGUUUCUCUCGAAUUUAUUGCCUGGUGGCAUUCUUUAUUUGUAGUUCUUAUUAUCAUCAAUAAAAAAAAAAUUGUAAAUAUCGUUAUUUA